UUUUUGGAGAGUAUGAUACCGGCUCAGGACGAACGCUGGCGGCGUGGAUUAGGCAUGCAAGCCGAACGAGAAGCCGUACUUCGGUGCGGUGGAAAGUGGCGAAAGGGUGAGUAACGCGUGGGUAAUUUGCCUUUGAUAUGGGGACAACAACUCGAAAGGGUUGCUAAUACCAAAUACGACUCGGUUGACUUUGGUCGGCCGAUUGAAAGGUGGCUUCGGCUGCCGCUCAAAGAUGAGCCCGCGUCCUAUUAGCUUGUUGGUGUGGUAAUGGCGCACCAAGGCGACGAUGGGUAGCUGGUCUGAGAGGAUGGUCAGCCACAUUGGGACUGAGACACUGCCCAAACUCCUACGGGAGGCUGCAGUCGAGAAUAUUUCGCAAUGGGGGAAACCCUGACGAUGCG
rnacentral:rRNA from 1 species